rnacentral:tRNA from 16 species
GGGGCCAUAGCUCAGCUGGGAGAGCGCUUCGCUGGCAGCGAAGAGGUCAGGGGUUCGAUUCCCCUUGGCUCCACCA